rnacentral:lncRNA from 1 species
AUCAAAGCUGCCUCUGUUAAAUAACCCAGAACUGAAUGCAGCUCACCACUCAGUAGUCACAGAGCUGUCUGGCUUAGGAAGAUGGAAACUCUUUCUACCCAUCCACAUGCCACAUGGGCUGCUGAUCCCUGCCACCAGCGUCUUCUUUAUCAGCUGGGGAGAGAAUCGGAUGCAACUGCAUUAUCUUUCCUCCUCACCCCGCACGGCCUGACAGAGACGUGUUCAAGGGAAAUGAAGGGGCUUCUGAAGGCUUCGUUCAAGCUCCAUCUUCAUUAUUGGCAGGCACAUCUGAGGAAGAAUCUGAACCUGCUGGGCCAGGCUGUCUCUGUGGGUCUGAUAUUGGCUCUCCACACUAUUGCGGACCUUGGAUCAGCAAAAGAGGAAGGUAAAACGGGACCCGUCUUUGAACCUGUCUGUGAGUCCAGCAGCUCUGAGACUGUGGCUCAGGCAUCUGUCCCUGGCAGCCACUGCUUACUGGGUCUGACCUAAGGAGUCAGCUUUCGCUCAGCUUCUUGGGGAACUUUAUUGUUUUCAGAAUCCCAGCUAUAAAGAAGUUAGAGGUUUGGCAGUGGGCACAGACACCUUCCAGCGCAUUCGGCUGUUGUGGCCUCAUUUAAUUAACUGACCGUCUGUGCAGGCUUGAUUCUGGAGGUGCGGAAAUCAGAGGAGCUUAGGGGAAGAAACGGGAUGAGUGAGUCAGGGUGGAGGAAUGACAACACCUGUCUCCCUGCCGUGGGCAGAUAUGACACCCCACACCCCUGCCCUCGAUCCCCGAAGAGGACCUAUGCUCGGCCUGAAGGAGCUCAGGGAGCGAAAUGUGGGUCCCGGCUCUGCCUCCAGUGAGACUCUUGACCAUCCAUGUAUCUUCUUGCCUCUUUGGCCUUAGUUUCUCAGACAUACCCGGAAGGAGCUGGACUCUGAUCUAUAAAGAUUCCUUCAACUCUUCUCUUGAGGACCAGACCCUGGAGACGAUCUUAAUCCAUGCCAGGCCCUGGGCUCAAGGCUGGGAAACUACCAUCAUGGAACUCACUUAUCAAUGGGGAGACAGAAAAUGCAGGAUUGGGUGAGCAGAGUGAAUGGCCUACUUCCUGGGUGUAGCAUGUACUUUGAGUGAAACACACGAACCAACAAGGAACCUGGAGAAUGCACACCCGACCUUGGUCACCUUCCCUCCUGGCUCCUCCCAGAGAAGCCAGGGGGCCUUGGAGCCAGCGGCUCAGUUCACAGCCGUCAGCUCCCUGGGCAGGACAGAAGAGGGAUGGAGGACAGCUCUGGAGGGGAACAGCUCACAUCUUUCACAUCCUCAGAAGAAUCUGAAAUGAUGUCACGUUCUUAACAAUGCAUUCAAAGAAGAAUUUGUAGUCAAAAGUGUCAAUAUUUUGUACAUUGGAAUAAUUAAAUUAUUGUACACCAAACCAUGAUAUUUUAUGUUGGGGGAAAAAAGACAGCCUAACAACUGGUGAGUUAAGCAUCAAGGAGUUUGAGAAAG